UACGGAGGGGGCUAGCGUUGUCCGGAUUUAUUGGGCGUAAAGAGCUCGUAGGCGGCUUGUCGCGUCGUCCGUGAAAACCCACAGCUCAACUGUGGGCUUGCGGUCGAUACGGGCAGGCUAGAGUUCGGUAGGGGAGACUGGAAUUCCUGGUGUAGCGGUGGAAUGCGCAGAUAUCAGGAGGAACACCGGUGGCGAAGGCGGGUCUCUGGGCAGUAACUGACGCUGAGGAGCGAAAGCGUGGGGAGCGAACAGG
rnacentral:rRNA from 1 species